AGAAAGAUGCCCAAAAUCCAGCCCACGAGGCACGAACAAGGAUGCCUUCGGCUUCGUCACUUCCUUCUCCAAAGUUCUGGAAUCCACCUCCAUUUUUCUCACUCCCAGCCACCACAAUCUUCUUCGCCUCCGCCAUGUCCUUCGCUUCCUCCACUUCCCCAUCGCAAUCCCCUUCUUUCUCCACUCCCAAAACCCCUCUCGAUCAAGCCGAUCACAAGCUCUCGCAGGUCCUCAAGUACCACGCCCAGACCAAGCACGGCUUCGCCAAGUACGCCAGAGGCCCCCAUGGCCUCGAUUGGGCCAAUCAGCCCAAUCCCUUCCGCCGCUACAUCUCCGCCCCUCUUCUUCCCCUCUCGCACUUCCCAAUUCUCAAGCAAUCCGCCGCUUCAGAACACGAGCUCCACGACGCUCCUCUGUACGAUUCUCUCUUCCUAUCGCCACCUCCUCCGAAACCCAUCUGUAAGGCUACCAUUUCUCAGUUGUUCUUCGAUUCUUUAGCGCUUUCUGCUUGGAAAUCUACUGGGUUUUCCACUUGGUCGCUUAGAGUCAAUCCCAGUAGCGGGAAUUUGCAUCCGACUGAGGCUUAUUUGAUUGCUCCGGGUGUGGAAUCGCUGUCGGAUUCUGGUUUCGUCGCGCAUUAUGCUCCCAAAGAGCACUCGUUGGAGAUUAGAACUCGAAUUCCACCUGGGUUUUUCUCCAAAUUCUUCCCUGAAGACGUUUUUCUUAUUGGGUUGUCUUCGAUUUUUUGGCGCGAGGCUUGGAAGUACGGGGAGCGAGCAUUUCGGUAUUGUAAUCACGACGUUGGCCACGCCAUUGCGGCGGUUGCCAUAGCCGCCGCAGGGCUUGGGUGGGAUGUGAAGCUUCUCGAUGGAUUGGGCCACGCCGAUUUGAAGAGGCUCAUGGGGCUACACUCAUUCCCGGAGUUUGAAAUUCCGUCGCGGCCGGUUAAGGGUUCGUUUCCGGUGAUUGAAUUCGAGCAUCCUGAUUGUCUACUCGCUGUUUUCCCCAAUGGUACUGCCGAAUUUUCCCUGAAUUACGAGGAAUUAAGCUCUGCAAUACAGGAAUUCACAGAGCUAGACUGGAAAGGAGAGCCAAAUGUGCUCAGCAAAGAGCACGUAUGUUGGGAUAUAAUUUACAGAACAGCCAUGGCGGUGGAGAAGCCAUUAACAGUUGACGGUAGAUCUCUAGUUCAUCCAUUUCAGAGCAGUGGGGUUCUUGGUGACAGUUCCUACAAGGGCUUUACAGCUAGGGAAGUUGUGAGGAAGCGCAGGAGCGCAGUGGACAUGGAUGGAGUUACAACAAUGGCGAGAGACACAUUUUAUCAGAUUCUAUUGCAUUGUCUGCCUUCGGGUUCUCGAGAAGGGGAGAAACAGAGCAGAGGAUUGGCAUUGCCAUUUCGUACUCUUCCAUGGGAAUCUGAGGUUCAUGCGGCUCUGUUUGUUCACAGGGUGGCGGGAUUGCCACAGGGUCUGUACUUUUUGGUGAGAAAUGAAGAUCAUUUUGAUGAGCUGAAGAGAGCUACCAGUCCAGAUUUUAAGUGGGUGAAACCUGAUGGCUGCCCCAGUGAUCUCCCUCUAUAUGAGCUACACAGAGGCAAUUAUCAGGCACUCGCCAAGCGAUUGUCAUGCCAUCAGGAUAUUGCCAGUGAUGGUUGCUUCAGCCUGGGAAUGAUUGCUCGUUACGAGCCUACAUUGCGUGAAAAAGGCGUUCACAUGUAUCCUCGACUUUUUUGGGAGACUGGAGUUCUUGGGCAGGUGUUAUACCUUGAAGCACAUGCUGUUGAUAUAUCUGCAACUGGAAUUGGUUGCUUCUUUGAUGAUCCUGUGCAUGAAACACUUGGGUUGAAAGGAUCAAACUUCCAGAGCCUAUAUCAUUUCACUGUGGGAGGUCCUGUCUUGGACAAGCGAAUAAUGAGCCUACCAGCAUAUCCUGGCCCCAACGUCGAUGCUUAACUGCAAGGUUUACGAAGCUUCUUCAUUCUACUGUAGAUUCUCGUCUUCAACCGACAUGAUUUGCGCAGUUGAUUGCUUCUUCCAUCAUUUCAGCCAAGAAAGCUGUUCGUCGGAAUUUUCGGACUUCUUUAAUUAAAUGUAAACCCUAGUUGUUACUUGUUCUAACGAAAUCCCAGUAAAAUUCAGUCGGACUGGGCAAACAAUGGACGAACAAUCAGCCGAAAUCCAACAGAGAUAAGAUCCCCAAAAUUAAAAGAAAAAUUUAAGAAGGGAAUGGGAAGAGAAUUUCGCUCACCAUACAUUUCGUCGGGCAGGAGAGAGCAUCUGUUCUUGGAGUGCCUUCUUCUACUUCUUUAUGCCAUGGCGGGCGAUUCUUUGCUCCAGGAAACGCUGCGGCGCUUCGAUUCUUCUUCCCCUCCAUAUUCUUGAUAGCUCCAGAGCUAAAAGAUUCUUUCUUGAUCGAUUGAAACAGAGAAAAUGAAAUAGUACUUCCUCAAAAGUAACUUUCUUGA